GGCACGCACACGGAUAAAAUGCUAACCCACCCCACCGAUUCCCAGCUCGUUCCGCCAGCGAGUCGUCUUCCUCUCCUCCUCGAAGGGGACGCCAAGGUUCUCCCGCCGCCGCGCCCUCGAUCGGAGGGUUUUUCGCUUUCAAACCUUUCGAGGAAUUGCAGUAGAGGUGGAGGAUGACUGUUGCUGCUCCCGGGCAGCUGAAUCUCGAGGAGCCCCCGUCGUGGGGGUCUCGGAGCGUCGACUGCUUCGAGAAAUUGGAGCAGAUUGGUGAAGGCACAUACGGGCAAGUCUAUAUGGCCAGAGAAAUAAAAACAGGGGAAAUAGUGGCCCUGAAGAAAAUUAGAAUGGACAAUGAAAGAGAAGGAUUUCCUAUAACAGCGAUACGCGAAAUCAAAAUUCUGAAGAAGCUGCAUCAUGAAAAUGUUAUUCAAUUGAAAGAGAUUGUGACCUCUCCAGGUCCUGAAAAGGAUGAGCAAGGAAAGCCAGAUGGUAACAAGUAUAAAGGAAACAUCUACAUGGUUUUUGAGUACAUGGAUCAUGAUUUGACUGGCCUAGCAGAUCGUCCUGGGAUGAGAUUCACCGUACCCCAAAUUAAGUGCUACAUGAGGCAGCUGCUAACAGGUCUUCAUUAUUGUCAUGUAAAUCAAGUGCUCCAUCGUGACAUUAAAGGUUCUAAUCUUCUAAUUGAUAAUGAGGGAAAUCUAAAACUUGCUGAUUUUGGCCUUGCACGAUCAUUCUCCAGUGAUCACAAUGGAAACCUAACAAAUCGUGUGAUCACAUUGUGGUACAGGCCUCCAGAGUUGCUGCUUGGAACUACAAAGUAUGGUCCAGCUGUUGACAUGUGGUCUGUUGGUUGCAUCUUUGCAGAACUUCUGCAUGGGAAACCAAUCUUGCCAGGAAAGAAUGAGCCAGAGCAACUAACUAAGAUAUUUGAACUCUGUGGAACUCCGGAUGAGGUCAACUGGCCUGGUGUUUCUAAAAUUCCCUGGUAUAACAAUUUUAAGCCUUCCCGGCCGAUGAAGAGACGGCUCAGGGAGGUUUUCAAGCAUUUUGACCGUCAUGCUUUGGACUUGCUAGAGAGAAUGUUAACAUUGGAUCCAUCCCAGAGGAUUUCUGCAAAAGAUGCACUGGAUGCGGAGUACUUUUGGAAUGAUCCUCUACCUUGUGAUCCUAAAAGCUUACCGAAGUAUGAGUCCUCACAUGAGUUCCAGACAAAGAAGAAGCGUCAACAGCAACGACAGCAGCAAGAGGAAGCAGCAAAGCGACAGAAAAUACAGCAUCCACCACCACAUGCCCGUCUACCACCCAUUCAGCAAACUGGGCAACCACACCCUCAGAUCAGACCUGGUCCCAGCCAGCCUAUGCACAAUGCACCACCUCCCAUGGCUGCUGGCCCAAGCCAUCACUAUGGCAAGCCACGGGGCCCUUCUGGAGGGCCAAGCAGAUACCCACAAGGUGGAAAUCCAAGUGGUGGAUAUAACCCAAAUCGUGGUGGUCAAGGUGGUGGUUAUGGCAGCGGUCCGUAUCCCCAGCAAGGACGUGGACCUCCUUAUGGUGGGAGUGGUAUGCCUGGUGCCGGUGGUCCUAGAGGUGGUGGCGGCAGUGGGUAUGGAGUAGGUGCCCCAAAUUACCCCCAAGGGGGUCCGUAUGGUGCUUCAGGUGCAGGACGAGGCCCCAAUAUGAUGGGUGGGAAUCGCAAUCAGCAGCACCAGCAGCAGUAUGGUGGCUGGCAGUAGUAGAAUUACGUACCAUUUCAUGUUUAGAUUUUCGGGUUUGUCUUCUAACGAAGAAGGAUUUUUGGCUUUGUUGAGUCAUUUACUUGGAAGUAACCUGUUGUCAUGGGUAGGUUAUGUCGGUGUGGAAGCUGCAUUAUAUCUGAUGAGCUUGCAAUUUGGAAUUUAGGAGUUCAGCAUUUGCCGACUGCUCUAUUAGGUUGUUUUAAACUGGAGUUGGGUAUAUGGAAGUGUUGUUGGGCGCCAGUUUGAGAAAUUCUUUCAUCAUUAUUAUGGUUCUUUUCUAGUGUUUUGUUUAAGGGCUAGGGAGUUGUGCAGGUGGGCUUCAAAUGAAGGUGGGUGAUUGCUUUUGGAAAUGCUGUUUCAGUGCGACCAGGUUUGUUUUGAAAAAAAGAGAAUUUUUUGUUUUAUUCACUCAUUCGUCAAAGAAAUUUCAAGUGACAGAGGUUUAGCUGUGGGUGGUGAGACCAGCCCACCUUGGGCUGGAAUGCAAGCCUCACUGAGGUGUGUUACGAGAUGGAAAUUUCAGAAGGCAAAAUAGAAGAGCUAAGAACUUUGGUCAGUCUUCAUUUGCAUCACAAACAAAAUCCGAGUGUAGGAACAUCAGCAAUGAAAUCCAACAGUAUGAGAAACACAUUUACCUGAGUUAUGCCAGCAAUAUUGUCAUUGCAGAAAACAAGUCACGGCCGCUGGUGCAACUCAGGCAGGGUCUGGUUGGGUUAAAGACCAACAAAACCCCAAUCUAAAAUACGUCACCUAACGGUAAACUCAAUUAUUAUGUAAAACCUGAACAUAACUUGAGUUGGGCUUGGGUGAUUCAGGAAAGGUUCAAACUUAGCUGGGAGAUUAAUUGUAAAAUGUAAGUUUACCUUUGCUCGAGCUGGAGGCCAGAAAAGUUGAUUGUGUUGUCCAA